GGAUGCGAUCAUACCAACACUAAAGCACCGGAUCCCAUCAGAACUCCGAUGUUAAGCGUGCUUGGGCGAGAGUAAGCGUGCUUGGGCGAGAGUAGUACUAGGAUGGGUGACCUCCUGGGAAGUCCUCGUGUUGCAUUCC
rnacentral:rRNA from 1 species